rnacentral:rRNA from 1 species
UGGGGAAUAUUGGACAAUGGGCGAAAGCCUGAUCCAGCCAUGCCGCGUGUGUGAAGAAGGCCUUUUGGUUGUAAAGCACUUUAAGUGGGGAGGAAAAGCUUAUGGUUAAUACCCAUAAGCCCUGACGUUACCCACAGAAUAAGCACCGGCUAACUCUGUGCCAGCAGCCGCGGUAAUACAGAGGGUGCAAGCGUUAAUCGGAAUUACUGGGCGUAAAGCGCGCGUAGGUGGCUAUUUAAGUCAGAUGUGAAAGCCCCGGGCUUAACCUGGGAACUGCAUCUGAUACUGGAUAACUAGAGUAGGUGAGAGGGGAGUAGAAUUCCAGGUGUAGCGGUGAAAUGCGUAGAGAUCUGGAGGAAUACCGAUGGCGAAGGCAGCUCCCUGGCAUCAUACUGACACUGAGGUGCGAAAGCGUGGGUAGCAAACAGGAUUAGAUACCCUGGUAGUCCACGCCGUAAACGAUGUCUACCAGUCGUUGGGUCUUUUAAAGACUUAGUGACGCAGUUAACGCAAUAAGUAGACCGCCUGGGGAGUACGGCCGCAAGGUUA